UUUUGGGGGGAUAUGGAUUUUUGGGGAAUUUUGAGGAUUUUUUGGGGGAUUUGGAUUUUUGGGGAUUUUUGAGGAUUUUUAGGGGGAUUUGGGAUUUUUGGGAUUUUUUUUUAUUUUUGGGGGAUUUUUUUGGGAUUAUUUUGGGGAGAUUUGGGAUUUUUGGGGGAUUUUUAGGGGAUUUUUUUUGCAUUUUUGGGGGGGAUUUGGGUUUUUUAAUGGAAUUUGGGAUUUUUUAGUGAAGAAUUUUUUUGGGAUUUGGGAUUUUUUGGGGUUUUUUUGGGAUUUGGGAUUUUUGGGAUUUUUUGGGGGAAUUUUUUGAGGGGAUUUUGGGGAUUUUUUUUGGAAUAUUUGGGAUUUUUUUUUAAUUUUUGGGGAAUUUUUGGGAUUUUUUGGGAAUUCUUUGAGAUUUGGGGGGAAUUUUUGGGAAUUCUUUGGGAAUUCUUUGGGAAUUUUUUUGGAAUUUUUGGGAUUUUUUUUGGGAAUUUUUGGGAUUUUUUUGAGAGUUUUUUUGGAAUUUUUGGGAUUUUUUGGGAAUUUUUUGAGAUUUGGGGGAAUUUUUGGGAAUUCUUUGGGAAUUUGGGAAUUCUUUGGGAAUUUUGGGGAAUUUUUUUGGAAUUUUUGGGAUUUUUUUUAAUUUUUGGGGAAUUUUUGGGAUU
rnacentral:lncRNA from 1 species